rnacentral:rRNA from 1 species
CGGACGGGUGAGUAAUGUCUGGGAAGCUGCCUGAUGGAGGGGGAUAACUACUGGAAACGGUAGCUAAUACCGCAUAACGUCGCAAGACCAAAGAGGGGGACCUUCGGGCCUCUUGCCAUCAGAUGUGCCCAGAUGGGAUUAGCUUGUUGGUGGGGUAACGGCUCACCAAGGCGACGAUCCCUAGCUGGUCUGAGAGGAUGACCAGCCACACUGGAACUGAGACACGGUCCAGACUCCUACGGGAGGCAGCAUG